UUUGUUAAGAAAAAAUGUAAAAUAGUUAUUAUUUAAAAAAAAAAAACAAAAAAAACACAACUCAAUUCAAAAAAAUUAUAGCUUGAAAUAUCACUUUCAAAAUUUAUUAUUACAUAUGAUACUACGUAUAAUUAUGAAGUCAUUAGUUAUAAAAGAGACACUUACAUGAUCUAGUCAGGUUAGGCCUAAGAAUUAUUUUCAUAUGUCCGAGCUCCUCUUUCACCUACAUAUCAUAUCAUUUACAUUCAACAAGGUUCAACAUUGAUGGUAAAAACAAAAUAUCAAAUAAAAAACGUUAAAUGUAAAUGAUAUAGAACCAUCGAAGUCUUAUAUUAUAGGACCACAUCCUUAAUUGUUAUAUAUUGAAUUAAAUAUGAUCAAUUAAAAAAA
rnacentral:lncRNA from 1 species